CAGCAGCCGCGGGAAUACGUAGGGUGCGAGCGUUAAUCGGAAUUACUGGGCGUAAAGCGCACGUAGGCGGAUAUUUAAGUCAGGGGUGAAAUCCCGCAGCUCAACUGCGGAACUGCCUUUGAUACUGGGUAUCUUGAGUAUGGAAGAGGUUAGUGGAAUUGCGAGUGUAGAGGUGAAAUUCGUAGAUAUUCGCAGGAACACCAGUGGCGAAGGCGGCUAACUGGUCCAUAACUGACGCUGAGGUGCGAAAGCGUGGGGAGCAAACAGGAUUAGAUACCCCAGUAGUCCCUGUCUCUUAUAC
rnacentral:rRNA from 1 species